CGCGAAGAACCUUACCAAGGCUUGACAUGAACCGGAAAGAUCYGGAAACAGGUCCCCCACUUGUGGUCGGUUUACAGGUGGUGCAUGGUUGUCGUCAGCUCGUGUCGUGAGAUGUUGGGUUAAGUCCCGCAACGAGCGCAACCCUCGUUCUAUGUUGCCAGCACGUGAUGGUGGGGACUCAUAGGAGACUGCCGGGGUCAACUCGGAGGAAGGUGGGGACGACGUCAAAUCAUCAUGCCCCUUAUGUCUUGGGCUUCACGCAUGCUACAAUGGCCGGUACAAAGGGUUGCGAUACUGUGAGGUGGAGCUAAUCCCAAAAAGCCGGUCUCAGUUCGGAUUGGGGUCUGCAACUCGACCCCAUGAAGUCGGAGUCGCUAGUAAUCGCAGAUCAGCAACGCUGCGGUGAAUACGUUCCCGGGCCUUGUACACAC
rnacentral:rRNA from 1 species